rnacentral:rRNA from 1 species
AUUGAACGCUGGCGGCAUGCUUUACACAUGCAAGUCGAACGGUAACAGGUUAAGCUGACGAGUGGCGAACGGGUGAGUAAUGCAUCGGAACGUGCCCGGUCGUGGGGGAUAACGCAGCGAAAGCUGCGCUAAUACCGCAUACGAUCUGGGGAUGAAAGCGGGGGACCGUAAGGCCUCGCGCGAUCGGAGCGGCCGAUGUCAGAUUAGGUAGUUGGUGGGGUAAAGGCUCCCCAAGCCAACGAUCUGUAGCUGGUCUGAGAGGACGACCAGCCACACUGGGACUUAGACACGGCCCAGACUCCUACGGGAGGCAGCAGUGGGGAAUUUUGGACAAUGGGCGAAAGCCUGAUCCAGCAAUGCCGCGUGCAGGAAGAAGGCCUUCGGGUUGUAAACUGCUUUUGUACGGAGCGAAAAGGUCUCCUCUAAUACAGGGGGCUCAUGACGGUACCGUAAGAAUAAGCACCGGCUAACUACGUGCCAGCCGCCGCAGUAA